UCAGAUCAAGAAAACCACUCUCCGACUGUGCAUGCAGAUCCAUCUCAGGAGUAUUCAUGUUCAGCGAUCAUAGCACAUACUGUACAUAGCAAGUCCAAAGCACUCGACUCUAACUAGGCCAAUCACGGCAUAGGUAUUCGGUGGUACAGUAGCUUUUAUUUUUGUUACUCGAGCGGAAGAGGCUGCCAUUGCUUUACAUCAAAGGCCAUUGCUGCAUAAGGUUUGCCUCCUCAACAACUCAUCCAAAAGUCCGAACUAUGGGAGAGGGCGUUUACUGGGUUUUGAACCCUGAACCAAGAACUCUUGGUUGUAAGUUUAUGCACCUAACCAGUUCACCCAUUAGUCCAAGUUUACAAAUAUAAUUGGGUUUAAGUUAGAGAUAAAGAGAUAGAGAUAGAAUUAGUUUAAACCGCCCUCGAGGAUUCGCGCCGCCGAGGAGGAGAAGCAGCGCGCCAUGCGGGACCACGCCGCCGCCAAGGAGCGCGCCAGCGGCGAAGAGACGGAGGACCGCAACGGCGGUCACAGCCCUGCCCCUGCGGGCGGCCACGGUGAGUAAUGAGGAGCGCGCGUCCCGCCGACCCGAGCGACUGAGUGAUCCAGCAGUUAUACGUAUUCUUAUGGUGUUAACCGUGUCGUGUGUGUUUUCCGUAACUCGGGUAUUGAUGAUGUUUUCCGCUGCUGCUUGUGAUCUGUAAUCGAACGAGACAUGUGUAUAAAAUUGUUAGUACGGUACAAUUGUCAGCAGAACGAAUGGUGUUUACGAGACUGAACUAAGCGUGCUUGAUCAUGAUGAUGCAGAUUUCCGUCAGCAUGGCCAAUUUGUCUCAAUAGUACACCCUCUGUUCGUAAAUCCUAAAUAUAAGACGUUUUUCAGUUCAAAUUCCUAAAUAUAAGACAUUUUGCAGUUCAAAAACAGAGGUUGUAAAACAUAUCAGAUCAAGAAAACCACUCUCCGACUGUGCAUGCAGAUCCAUCUCAGGAGUAUUCAUGUUCAGCGAUCAUAGCACAUACUGUACAUAGCAAGUCCAAAGCACUCGACUCUAACUAGGCCAAUCACGGCAUAGGUAUUCGGUGGUACAGUAGCUUUUAUUUUUGUUACUCGAGCGGAAGAGGCUGCCAUUGCUUUACAUCAAAGGCCAUUGCUGCAUAAGGUUUGCCUCCUCAACAAC
rnacentral:lncRNA from 1 species